rnacentral:rRNA from 1 species
AGACGAAGGUGGCGACCGUUGUUCGGAAUCACUGGGCAUAAAGAGCACGUAGGCGGGAACGUAAGUCGGGUGUGAAAUCCCUCGGCCCAACCGAGGAACUGCGCUCGAUACUGCGUUUCUUGAGGACAGGAGGGGAGCGUGGAAUUCCUGGUGGAGCGGUGAAAUGCGUUGAUAUCAGGAGGAACACCGGCGGCGAAGGCGACGCUCUGGCCUGUUUCUGACGCUGAGGUGCGAAAGCCAGGGGAGCAAACGGGAUUAGAAACCCCAGUAGUCC